AGAUGGAGAGAAAGUUUAAAAAUUCUAAAGACCCAAUCUCAAUACCUCAAACUCUAAACACUGCAUAUUUAAUUAUCAUACCUCCACCCACCCUUCUCCCAUCCCUCACUCUCUCGACGAAACCCUAAGCUUCCCCUUUCAAUCUCAUCAGAUCCUUUCGUGGUUGCGCGAAACCCUAAUUUUGAAUCUGCAAACAUGUCUGCAGCUAUGGAUAUGUCGCUCGACGACAUAAUCAAGAACAACAAAAAAUCUGGAUCCGGAAGUUCCCGUGGCCGGAUCCGACCCUCCGGUUCCGGACCUUCUCGCCGGUUCCCCAACCGUGCCGCCAACCGCGCCGCUCCUUAUGCCACCGCUAAGGCGCCGGAGGCGACGUGGCAGCACGAUUUAUAUGCAGAUCAGCAAGUGGCUGCGGCGGGGUACCCUGCUCAAGGUGGUCGUGCGGCUUCCAUAGAAACUGGGACUAAGCUUUACAUUUCAAACUUGGAUUAUGGUGUUUCCAGUGACGAUAUUAAGGAAUUGUUUGCUGAAGUUGGUGACCUGAAACGGCAUGCGGUUCAUUAUGACAGGAGUGGCAGAUCAAAGGGUACAGCAGAAGUAGUAUUUUCACGACGAGCUGAUGCUGUAGCUGCUGUAAAGAGAUACAACAAUGUUCAGUUGGAUGGGAAACCAAUGAAGAUUGAGAUUGUGGGAACCAACAUUUCCACACCUGGUGUGGCUCCUGCUCGUAACGGGGCUAUUGGAAAUUUUGAUGGAGUUCCUCGAAGUGGACAAGGAAGAGGUGGGGCAUUAAGAAGGCCAGGAGGAAGAGGGCAGGGCGUUCGAAGGGAUCGGGGACGGGGAAGAGGUCGUGGCGGAGCAGGUCGCGGUGAAAAGGUAUCUGCUGAUGAUCUUGAUGCGGAUUUGGAGAAGUAUCAUGCAGAGGCAAUGCAAUUGAACUGAAGGAAUUGGCCAUAUUUUAUUUUCUUGCUAUUACAUCUAUGAUGUUUAUUAGGGACUUGGUGCUGGAACACCAUGUGUUUAUGUAUCUUUCACGCUGGCCUACUUUUUAGGGAAAGAGAAUGGAUUUCCUGAGUGAAAACAUUUAGACUUGCCAUAUGGAGUUUGGGCUUCUGUUGUCUAUUUUUGAUUUUCCUUGGGUAUGAAAUAUGGAUUACGAAACAGAAGUCAGCAUGUAAUAUGCAGUCAAGCUUGCCUUCACUGGCAUUAAUUUGUUUUAACGAGUGGAUUAUGGAAGUGGGAACCAUGAUUUCAUCUAUCAAUGUACAAAGAAAUGUUUGGCUGCCAAAUGUGGGAGGCUACAGAAUUCACCCACAGCUGCUUUGUUGUUUUGGUUAAACCAUAUACCCAACACAGUGGAAUCUUCAAAUAAAGUGAGAUGGAAUCUAUCAUCUGUUCUAUUUGACUUCAGCGGCCGAUUGCACUGGUCAAGAUACACGUCUACAGAUGAAGAUUGCACUCCUGGCUAAGGAUGCUAUAGGAGUUAGUAUUUAUUUUACAUUUGCUGGUCAUGCUCAUUCAGGUCCAGUUGUCUGUGCUGUGUCGUGUAUUUUACACCCGCUGUAACCCAGUUUUCCUUGUACUGAAUCUGUGAGAAAUGUCCUUGCGGGUUAAAGCUGGUCCAUUCUUUGAUGCCAUAUUUUUACUUGUUGGAACCAAGAGGGACAGCUGAUAGAAGUGCUUGCUAUAAGUCAGUGUCUGUUCUAGUUAACAGGCGUUGGUGAAACAUGAUACACAUGCCUCCCUAGCUGUGGGAAAGAAAAUGGUAUUGUUAACUUCCUUUGAAUCUA